AGAAGGGGACGCCUGCCUCUCAUUGUCACGGACUGCACAAUGGGGUUGGGGGCUGGGGGCUGCCCCUGUUCAUGGGAGCCUAAACUUCCGGGAGAAGGGAUAGAUGCCUGCAGCAGGAGCCUGGCUUCGGGCAUGGUGCCAGGCAGAGCUGGAGAGGAAUUGAGGCCCUUUAUCAGCAGCGGUGGGUUUUCCAGAUCUCUGCCAAGAGCCAGUGUGAUCUAAAAGGGGCUGGGAGUCCGGCAGAGCUAGAUUUUGAAGUCGCACUCUACCCUAUCACCUGUGUGACUUUGGGCAGAUCGCCCUGCCUGUCUGUGCCUCAGGCCUGCUCCUAUAAACUGAAAAUAGUCGUCACUACCCCGUACCGAUGAUCAGUACUCGAGACGGUCUGUCGAAGUCCUUAGCUUGGUACCUGGCAUGAAAUGAAAUGUCUAAGAAAUGUUAGUCCCUUCCCCACCCUCAUCUCCUUCCCUUCCAGCUCACUUCUGACCCCCCGUCUGGCCCAGCCUUGAGUGAGCAGAUCAGCGUGUGCAGGGGAGGUGAAGAGGUAUUUUAAUAUUAGCCCGGACAAAGCACAGCUCUGCCUUCCCCUAAGCCAAGAAUAUCAAAUCAACUGCCCUACCCUGAACAGAGAGCCGUUUCUGAUCGCUCCUGGCACACGGACAUGGUGAAAUGUUUGGAUCUCAGAAGGUUUUACUGCCCCGCCAUGUGCAAGAGCCAAGACUCCGCUGUCCCAUAUGGUGACCACUAGCCGUGGGCAACGAUGACAAGUACAAAAUAAUGAAUUAAAACUACACAUCCGCUUCCUCACUAGCCACACGUGGCUGGUAGCUACUGCAUUGGAUAUCACUGUGGAAUGUUCUAUUGGACAGCACUGAGCUGGAGGGCAUGCUAUACCACAGAACCUGAGAAGGAGGAGGAGAUAAAUUAGUGGAGGAGAGAGGCUUUGAAGCAAAUAUUGGCUCGCUCCUACUUGGACUCUCUACUGCCAGGGGCCUCUGAGGCUGGGCUGAGAAAGCUGCCCGGGUAGGCCCUGUGCUCCAGAGUUGGGUCACCUCCAGCCCUUACGGACAGUUUGCCCUGUAUGCCACGGCCACAACGCAGCUGUGAGUUGUGGCUACUUAGGCCCGGGGGAGCCACAACCGCCAUAAGACUCUUUAUCUGGACUCUCUUGCCACCCCUGGUGUAGAAAGCAGGGCCAUUCACGUGGCCGGCGAGGACACCACCUCCUCCCAGGUGCAGUCCUGCGUGUGACUCAGUCUCAGCUUACUUUGUGCUUAGCUGCAAGGGCCAAUCCCACCAAGCAGCCUGGCCUGGGCAAGCUGCGGGGCUCUGGAAUCAGCUUCGUUGCCAACAGCCUGGUGUGUGUGAGUCCUGGGCACCCCUGGACCUUGGCUAUCUGGCUCCAGCUCUGCUUUUCCAGUUUAUACAGUUUAUACGCCCUGCUUUACUUCCUGACGCCCUGACUGGGCUCGUUCGUGUCUCCUUACCCUUCUGCCUUUCUCCUCUGAGGGGCUGGGCUGGUUUCCAUGCUCCUAAGCAGUGGACUGGGAUCCUGCUCAGAACACAGACAUCUCCUAAAACGCCAGUUCCGGAGUCUGUCUGCUUUGAGGAUCAAACUGGCCUAAAGACAUCAGCAUUGGGCUGGGUCUUGCCUUGGAGUAGCUCAGCCUCCCUGCUCAGGAAGCUGUCGUUAGAGCGUGGUCCGCAGGCAUCAGGUUUCCGAAGACACUAGAACUGCCUCUACCGCCCAUUCCCGCCUCAGUCUCGCUCGGCUGCCAGCUGAGUGGUGGGGGUAUCCGGGGAGGUGUCUCAAGCCAUAAUGAACAAUGUGCUGCCCGUGUGAUUGUCGGGAGAAGCCCAAGGGACGGCCCGGCUGGGGCCCCCUCCCGCUUUCCUUCUCCCUGGUGCUGCUGCUUGGCCCUGCCUCUCCUGGGAUGGAUGGGAAAGGGCACGAUGUGGGGGCUGGACAAUGCUGUAGGCCAGUCACCGAAGUCCAGCGUCAGGCUCUUCAGGCAAAAAGACCUUCCUAGUUUCUAGAGCGGCUUCAGCGUCGGCCAUGAAGGUCACCGUACUUUCUCUGCGCCGCUCACCUCUGUGUCUCUCUCUCUGGUGGUUCCAACCUCUCUCUGCAUACCUGUUUCUUCCACAUGGAGGAACACGGCUGCCAAGGACUCCCAAGUCUGAUAUAUGGCAGGUUCCCUCACAGGACUCACCUCGAUCCUUGGUUUCCAAACCCAGAAGUCGAGAGAGGAGGCACACUGGCCCACUUGAAAGGGCAAGUGUUAGGUGAGAACGUGGCCGAUUCUGCAGUGGCCCAGGGAACGGGGCCAAAGUUCCCAGAGAAGGCAGGCGGUUUCUUAGGAGGCACGAUGAGGGGGCAGGUCUGACGGCGCCUCUCGGGCGGGGCAGGGGUUCACAAGGUGGCCCCCAGGCGUCUCUGCUGCUGAGAAGGCUCAGCAUAGGUGUACCGGCCUCGGGAAGGGAAGUGGGGUGGGCUGACCAAGAGGAUUUCUGGGACCUUCGCAUUGAAGUGGGCAUCAGGGGUGCCCUGGUGAACGAGCGUCCUGGAAGGAUCAUGGCUGUGGAGCCAGGGACCCAGGCGUGGUGCUGGCUGUACCACCUCCGCAAGUGACUUGGCCUCUUUUUUUUUUUUUUUAAGAUUUUAUUUAUUUAUUUGAGAGAGAGAGAGAAUGAGAGACAGAGAGCAUGAGAGGGAGGAGGGUCAGAGGGAGAAGCAGAGUCCCCGCCGAUCAGGGAGCCCGAUGCGGGACUCGAUCCCGGGACUCCAGGAUCAUGACCUGAGCCGAAGGCAGUCGCUUAACCAACUGAGCCACCCAGGCGCCCUGUGACUUGGCCUCUUUGAGCUUGACUGACAUCCCUAAGAGUUCGUGAGAGACGGCUUUCCCUGGCUUCACCAACCUGUGGCUACAAAUGAAAUUAUUGACAUUAAGGCCCCACCUUUGCUGCCUCAUAGCUCCCCGUCGUGAGGACCCCAGGCUUCUACCUACUCACAGAGCCCCCAGGGUACAUCACACGUGUUCAUAGUUGGCUAUUGCAUGAGUGGCCCUGGUCUGCGAGCCACAGAAGGGCUACAGGGACCCUUAUCCCAAACCCAGUGCCACCCCAGUGCCCUCAAGCCUAUGAUAGGGUGCCAGGUGGCAUCAUAUUUCCCUCAGUCCUUGCUGGACUGGAGCCACGGGAAUUGUAUGAAGAAGCAGGGAGAAGGGUUCUCUCACCAGAUCCAAAUCAUACUUGGUCACCGGGCCCCAAAACAGAGGGGCUUGUGAGCUUCUCUCACAUAACCCCCCAGGAAAGGCAGUUUCCCGGUUAGCAACGCCCCCUCCCUCUCCCUGAGGUUCUGACCCAGUCCUGGGAGCUGGGCUGGGGAAAGCGCAUCUUGCUCCGGCCUCCUUUUCUCCAGGAGCCUGCCUCCUGUGUACGCCCCCAUGCCCGACCUUCCUCUUGUGGAGGGAGGCUAGGAGGAGAGGACACGGUCCCUUCCAUGUGUCAGACUCAACCUGACUCUGAGUCCUCACUUAGCCUCCUCUGGAAAUGCCUUCUUCACCAGAACAGGAAUUCCCCCUUAGAAGGGUUGGCGUGUUAAUUACAGGAGCUACAUGAUGGGUGCUCGGCAAAUGUUCCGUUUCCUUAGGCCAGGUGUUCAUUAGUCUCCUUUUGGGAGGGCAGGGAUGAUGGCACCUCUGAUCUGCCAGGGGAGCAGGCCCAUUGGGGCCAGGAAGCAGCCUGGACUGGCCAGAUGAAGCCAGUGUAGGUCCAGCCUAGCAGCUCUUCUGUGGCUUUUUGGGAUGAGCUUCAUGGGUCCCAACAUGGUGCAAUCAGAGGUCCUGGCUGGUUGUUAGGUGUGUCAGAAUUUGAGCCAAAAGGUCAGAGAAGGUAAUCCUGGCUGAGAACUCAGACCCAAGACAGUGAGGAACUACCUUGUUUCCCCUGGAUGACCUCCUGCGGUGUGCAUAGCUGCCCAGCUGAAAACCAAAGCUCUGCCUCCCUCCCAGGCAGGAAUCCCCUCUGUGGCAGCCCAGCGGAUGGCUGCCCAGGCUCUGCUCGAAUGUUUCGGAAAGCAGGUCCAUCAAACAGGAAAAAAGUGUGCUCUCCAUUCAAAGACAUCUCCACGUGCUGGAAUGAUAAAAAUCUAGCAGGGGUAGAGGGUAAAAUAUUAAACUGCAUAAAGAUAGAAUGGAGAGCUGGUUUCCAGAGAGUCUCAAAAACAGCCUUGGGAAAGUGGGGACAGGUACCCAGUGAGGAGGGUGGGAGAGGGUCUAGGCUGAAGUCGCUGGGGGAUAUUUAGUAUCUCCCCCAGAGGAAGAUGUCUUUCACAGUGAGAUGUUCUGGGUUCUGGGAGCUAGGACUCACUGUCCCCCACCCUCUCCCCCUGUUCCCUGGAAAAGGUCCUCAGAGAAGGUUCUGGAUGAAUCACUCCUUCCCCAGCCAAAGUUGAGAACAGGGCAUUGACCCCUGAAGGGAGCACACAGAGGUGGUGCCCUUGGGGAGCAGGCAGGACAGAGUCAACUGGAAGCUGCUCCUAGAACAUUGAAGCUGGUGGUUUCCCAGAGGGGAUGGCUUCUGUCCUCAAGAAGGCUCUCAGAGCUGCCUUUCACCCUGGGACAUAAGACAGGGAGGUGUCCACCAGGACCUGCUGUCUGUUCAUCCAAACUUCACUUCCCACGAAGAGACCUAGAACCCAAGGAUUAGCUACAUGCACGCGUGCAAGAGCCUCAGCCACACCCUGGUAGUCCUCAUGCUCAUGCACACAUGUGGACCCUGACAUAUGCAUGCCACUUCCUUCCCAUCUUCAGCCACUCUUGUCCUGGACAGUUGAUGCAGGCCCAGGACUUCUUGUCCCCUCCUCCUCUGCCCUCACUGCCCCCCUCGCAGCCAGCCCCACCCCUGAGAAAGUACAGCUCAGGGGUCCCCAGGGCUGCACAGGAAAUGCUUUGCACACCACGGGUCAGCCAGGCUAUUUUCUGUCCCAGAACCGGAGGGGGGCUGGGCUGGGAGCAGCCACACGACAAAGUCGGCUCUUCUCUGCCUCUUUCUCUGGGCCUUUUUCUCUGCCUCUCCAAUUUGCCGUGGCUCUCUGUCUCCCCUGUCUCUAUCUUGUCUCUGGAUUUCUCUUUCCUUGGACCCACAGUCCUUUGCUUCCUUUCACUUGAUGAUUGCCUACAUGCCCUUCAAAACUCAGCUCAGUGCCACCCACCUCUUUCAGAAAGCUUUCCCUGAGCUCUCCUGUGCCGUCUGGGUUCCCCUCCCCUUCGCUCUCAGAGCUCUGCACCGUGUGCAUGUGUGUCUGCCUCCGGGCCAGACUGUGCAACAUGCGAGCACAGGCUGCGGGGGCUUGAGCCCUCUUGUCAAGGGCUAGAUCCUUGCGUAACAACGGACAGCUGCUGAACUGCCCUUUGAGGAGGGUGGUUGGGGCACCUGCAGGGCUUGCACCUUAGCUGGGUGAGCUGUGCAGGUUUGGGGCCAGAGCAGAAUUGCUUGAGACGGGGAGUCCACGGGGUAAGGGGCUCGGGCAAGAGGAGGAUGUAUUAGUGUCCUAUUGCUGCUGAAACAAAUUGCUGCAAAUUUAGUGGCCUAACACAACACAAACUUAUUUUUACAGCUCUGGAGGUCAGAAGUGUGAACCAUGCCUCACUGGUCCAACGUCGUUUCUCUCUGGAGUCUCUAGAGGAGAAUCCAUUUCCUUGCCUGUUCCAGCUUCCAGAGGCCACCAAAUUCCUUGGCAUGUGGCCCCGUCUCUUCUCUCCACCUUUACAGCCAUUUCCAGUCCUCGUGUCAGAUCACUUCGACAUCCACUUCUGCCUUCCUCUUCCACUUUUUAUGACCCUUGAUAGUGUAGGAUAAUCUCCCCAUCUUGAUGUCAGCUAACUGAUGACCUUACUACCGUCUGUAACUUUAAUCCACCUUUAAUCUACAGGUUCUGGAGAUUAGCAUGUGGACACCUGGACGGGGGCAGACAUCAUUCCACCCACCACCUUGGUCUACUAGUGUGGUGGGGAGGAGCCUGGGAUUAAACACAUCUGAUGGGUUUGGGGGAGGAUCUUGCUGUGGGGUGUGUACGUCCUCUGUAUUUCUUACAAAAUCUCCAGCACCUGGACACUACGUGUAUUUUCCUGGGGGUAGAUGUGAAGACAGGCAGACUCUUGCUUCAAGGGUUGGCCUGAGGAAAAACCCCAGGCUUCCCACAACAGAAAGGGCCGGAGGCUGGGUUACACAUUCAUUCACUCAAGCUGUAUGCGCCAGGCUGGGAGUACAGGCUCACGGCCCCCAAGCCAUUCACAAGCUCCUGGGGGCGGCAGGUGUACGAACAGGUGAGAUCACUCUAGGGUAGGAGGUCAGUCGUGAGGUUCUGCACAGGUGGGGUACGGAAGAGACCUUCCGCUUCAUCUGGAGAGAGAAGAGGCCAGGAAGACCCAAGGAGGUUGCACCUCAGCCUCAUCUGAGUUUUGCAGGAUGAAUAGGAAGGAAUUCGCCAGGUGAAGAUGGGAAAGUGUAUUUCCGGCAGCCUGGACUGACUGUCAGAGCGAGGACAUGGAAAUGAAGAUACAAGCCAGCAUGAGGGGGGCGUGGGGGUGUGUGGAACUGUAAGCAUAGGUCCUGGCACAUUGGAAAUAUUUCUGGAAGGAGUACUUCAGCAUUCAUGCUGUCCCGUCUGUGUUUCUGGGCAGGUCUUGGCCCUGCCAGACAUCACGGAAUAGGAGACACCUCCUUUUGUGGAAGCCCCCCCAGAGUUGCCAUGACUUACCCAAGAAGUUUUUCAGGGUCUUUCCUUAGGAAAAAGGGGCAAGUUUAUUUCAUAUCUGAUCUCCAAUGUAAGAAUAACUCUUCAUAUCUGAAGAAGAAUGCAUCAUGCUUUACUGAAUCAUUUGUAAUGUCUCAACUGAUCUUUUUUUUUUUUUUGUCCCAGCUGAAGAAACUGAGGCUCAGAGAAUUGGUGAACCUUUCCCAAGGCCCCAUGGCCAAGGUCCCACAGCUGGACUCCAGCACACCUGCUUCUCAGCCAGGCCCUGAGCGGCUGCUAACUGCUGGGUCCCCUUCCGUCUGGUGUCGGGGCAGCUGGGAGCUGGGCCUGGAUUGCUGAGUGCUGCCCAGGACUCUUCUCCUCCUCUUCCCCAAAGGGUUUUCCUGAAGGUGGAAGUGGGUCCUGCGGCCCUGGAGGGUGUGCAUUGUUCAGCUGCACCUGGAGGGUGAGCUCAUGUCAGCAGACAGGGCAGGGAGGGCAGCGCCAGGCAGGGGAGGGCCUGAGCAGUUCCCUUGGCCCGGGUCCCUGCCUCCACCUUUGCCUCCUCUUCCCAGGAGCGGGUCCUUUCCCCGAGUCCUGGGCUGACAGUCAGGAGGCCAGGGACCCAGUGAGGCCAGGAAAGUCCCUCAGUUUCCCUGCCUGAAAAUGAGGGUUGAGUUAGAUUGGGCUUUCCCUGUCUGCUGAACAGUACUCCUACAGAAUAUUCUCCAAGAAAAGGGUUGCAUGGUCAAAUGAGGGAAAACCUGGUGACCUCUUCUGCUCCAGUUGGUGCCGCAGGAAGAGCCUGGGUUUUGGGACCAACAGCCAGAUGUUGCCACUUAGGAGCUAUGGCUCAGGCAGGUCGAUUCCUGAGCCUCAGUUCCCUCAUCUGUAAAAAGGCACAUGAUAAAACUCAGUAGAAUCAUUGCAAGGACUUGAGACAUAUAUGAUUUAAAGUACUUGGUGUAUAGUAGGCACCCAAUAAAAGAUCAUUGUAUCAUCAUCAGAUCCCUGUGCGAGCACUAUGAGCCCUUCACUAGAUGGACUCCCUGAGCGCAGGGAUUGUGCCUUUUAUCUUGUCAUCCUGAGCACAGCUGCUGACACAAAGUAGAUGCCAGGUAGCAUUGUUUGAUGAAGAUGGAUGGACGGAGCCUGGCAGCUGGUGUGGAGGGCGGGAUGGUGGGGUGAGACUCCCUGUCCCCACACUGGAGACAGCAGUGUGUCUCAUGGCUCUGCCACACUUUCACUGCAGGGGCUGAGGCAGAACAAGUCUUCAGAGACCUGAGAGAGUCUUGCCCUGUGCAAAACAGAGAAAAGAGAAACUUUUGAUUUUGGACAUGUGACUUGGAAGCACCAGAUGGGUCCAGGAGAGAGAGACGGAACUACUUUUGUGUGGAUCUAGGAGUCUGGCCCAAGGGUUAAGUACAUGGAGAGAGAUUUUAGCUCCAAAUAUGAUUAGAUUUUUGGGACUAGGCUGCCUUUGAAGGUGAUCGGAAUCCCCUUGAUGGAGCUGUAUGAGCAGAAGCUGGCCAGCCAUUGGUCGGUCCAAAGGCCAGACCACAAUCCAAUACCUGGUUGGGUCGUGUAUCAGCUUUUUCUGCGUAAUAAAACUUCAAUGGCAUACAGCAAUAAGGAUGCCUGGCUCACAGGUGGGGAGUACACUGGGGUGGGCUAGGCAGCCCUGCUGAUCUUGGAUGGGCUCAGUCUGGGAGUUGCUGCCUCGGCUGGGGUGACUGCCGUGGCUUGGCUCUGUUCGGCGUGUCUCUCAUCCUCCCGGGCUAGUGCAGGCAUGCUGUCUUGGCUGUGGUAGAGAUGCAAGAGAGCAGAGGCAAACAUGCAAGACCGCUGGGGGCCCAGGCUCAAAGAUGGCACACAGUCAGUUCUGUUGCACUUUGUUGGUCAAAGCAGGCCACGAGGCCAGCCCAGAUUCAAGAGGUGGGGAAGCGGAUUCCAUUUCUUUAGUGAGGAAAGCUACAA